AUGUUCAGUGUUAGCCACAAGGAAAUCACAAGUUCUUCACAACUUAGUCUCAUUCGAGUACAGCCGAACAUCGUAAUUAGCUAAGGAAUUAAUAGUUGGUACAUUAGUUUUCAAUUUGAAGUCUAGCUGCUUUACAUUCUAGUUAAACUCAUUUCUAAAAAAUAAGCAGAACGGAUAGCCAACCUUUCAAAAUUUUAAUUUUGCUACUAAAUUCUUCUAUUUGUUUGAUUUGAUUUAAUCAACGAUCCUUUAAUUUUAAAAUCUGAAUAUAUCACUGAACUUUGCACAUUUCAUACAAUUCGCAAUUAUAAAUUUAUUAAAAUAAAUUAUUAGCUUAAAAUUUGAAGUUAAAAUAUUAUUGACUGAUUUAAAUCAAAUAGAAAUAAAUUUAAGAGCCCAAUUGGUUCGGGAUUUAAAAUAUUCCAACAA
rnacentral:lncRNA from 1 species